CUUGGUCAUUUAGAGGAAGUAAAAGUCGUAACAAGGUUUCCGUAGGUGAACCCGCGGAAGGAUCAUUAUUGAAAAACUUCUCAAGUUUUUAAUAUCCUAUUGUCUACCUACCAUGUUGCUUCCACUGGACGUGUUUUACCUUGUGUAAGACCUUUGGCUUGUGUGAAUAACCCAAGUCAGGGAGUUGCCAGUGGCAAGACCAUCUACCAAAACUUGCUUAAAAUACUACUGUCUGAAUCUUUUGCUUCAAUGAAAUAAAACUUUCAACAACGGAUCUCUAGGCUCUUGCAUCGAUGAAGAACGCAGUGAAAUGCGAUAAGUAAUGUGAAUUGCAGAAUCUCGUGAAUCAUCGAAUCUUUGAACGCACAUUGCGCCCUAUGGUAUUCCGUAGGGCAUGCCUGUCUGAGCGUCAGCUCCCCCCCCACUCAAGUAUCUUUACUUUUUUGAUUCUUGGACUGAUUUGGAGAGGUGUCUUGUCAUGUAGACGCCCUCCAGAAAUUCAUAGGCAGUAUGGUUUGCACCUGAACCAGACGUAAUAAUAAUAAAAUCGUUUGUUUGGGUAUGAUUGUGCUUGCCUUAACCCACCCAUUUCUUUGUUUGGGUGACCUCAGAUCAGGUAGGGAUACCCGCUGAACUUAAGCAUAUCAAUAAGCGGAGGA
rnacentral:rRNA from 1 species